rnacentral:misc_RNA from 1 species
AAGUCGUAACAAGGUCUCCGUAGGUGAGCCUGCGGAGGGAUCAUUACUGAGCGAGGGCCCCGGGCCCGACCUCCCACCCUUCUGUGAACCACAUAACCCGUUGCUUCGGGGCGACCCAACGGAUCUGAUCCGGCCGGCGCCCCGGAGGCCCUCGAACCCUGCAUCACGGCGUCGGAGUCUUGAAGUUAAUUAAACAAA